rnacentral:rRNA from 1 species
CGUUGUACACACCGCCCGUCACACCAUGGGAGUGGGGUGCACCAGAAGUAGGUAGGCCAACCCGUAAGGGGAGCCGCUUACCACGGUUUGCUUCAUGACUGGGGUG